AUGUUCAAGAAAAUCAUCAAGGGAAAUAAAAAGACCCCAAAGUCUGAUUCUCAUGAUCCUUCCUCCUUCGCCUACGGCCCCCCGGGGCCCGCAAUUCCGGGGCCGUUUCGGCUAAUGUGGUCGUGAACCAUGCUUCCCGUGCCGGCCCCACCGCCUCCGGCCCCAACUCCGGCGGGCCCAAUCCCGUCCUGCCCCCUUCCGGAACCAUCGAGCCUCUCCCUUUGUUUAGGGACGUCCCUGUUUCGGACCGGCAAACAUUGUUCCUCAGGAAAUUGCAGGUGUGCUGUUUUCAUUUCGAUUUUUCGGAUACGCUCAAGGCGCCGAGGGAGAAGGAGAUUAAGCGGCAGACGCUGUUGGAGUUGGUUGAUUUUAUUCAGUCUGGUUCGGGGAAGAUCACCGAGACUUGUCAGGAGGAAAUGAUAAAGAUGGUUUCGGUUAAUAUAUUCCGGUGCUUGCCCCCGGCUUGUCAUGAGAAUACUGGCCAGGAGAAUGUGGAUCCUGAGGAGGAGGAGCUGUAUUUGGAGCCGUCCUGGCCGCAUUUGCAGUUGGUUUAUGAGCUGCUGCUUAGAUACAUUGUGUCCUCUGAUACUGAUACCAAGGUGGCCAAGCGAUAUAUUGAUCACUCGUUUGUGUUGAAGCUGCUGGAUUUGUUUGAUUCGGAGGAUCCGCGUGAGCGGGAGUAUUUGAAGAACAUUCUUCACCGUAUAUAUGGGAAGUUUAUGGUGCACCGCCCCUUUAUAAGGAAGGCUAUCAAUAAUAUAUUCUAUCGGUUUAUCUAUGAGACAGAGAGGCACAGUGGGAUUGCUGAGCUGUUAGAGAUUCUUGGGAGUAUAAUUAAUGGGUUUGCACUUCCGAUGAAAGAGGAGCAUAAGCUGUUUCUUGUCCGAGCACUUAUUCCGCUGCAUAAGCCUAAGCCGAUUGCAGUGUAUCACCAGCAGCUGUCCUACUGCAUAACUCAAUUUGUUGAAAAGGAUUACAAGCUGGCGGAUACUGUUAUACGGGGAUUGUUGAAGUACUGGCCAGUGACCAACUGCCAGAAGGAAGUUCUUUUCCUUGGAGAACUUGAAGAAGUUCUGGAAGCAACACAAGCUGCAGAAUUUCAACGAUGCAUGGUUCCUCUCUUCAGGCAGAUUGCCCGCUGCCUCAACAGCUCUCAUUUUCAGGUUGCAGAACGAGCACUCUUUUUGUGGAACAAUGAGCACAUUGUGAGUUUAAUUGCUCAGAACCGGAAUGUUAUAUUGCCGAUUAUUUUUGAGGCAUUGGAGAACAAUAUUUCAACUCAUUGGAACCAAGCAGUUCAUGGGCUCACUGUCAAUGUUCGGAAAAUGUUUUUGGAAAUGGAUGCCGAUCUGUUUGAAGAGUGCCAAAGGCAGCUUGCAGAGAGAGAGGCAAGGGCCAAGGAGGUGGAAGAACAGCGGGAGAUGACAUGGAAAAAACUGGCUGAUGCAGCCGGAGAGGAUAUGAUUACAGCCUAAAUGAUCAACCAGGGUUUCCAUGUACCUGCCGGCACUGGAAAGUGAAUGGAAGGAAGAUAACAAGUCUGCUCCACCUCUCAUUUUGGUGGUAUUCUUUUUAAUUAUUUUUUUUUGCGUUUUAAUUUUUUGAUCUCGAUUCCAGUCGUUGAAGAUAUCAGAAGAAGCGGUGAUAAUGUAAUUUAAGCUGUACGGAAUUUGUUAGCAACAUGCUGCAGAUUAAGAAUGAUUUGUGAAAUAUAUUCUGUAUUACCCUU